rnacentral:rRNA from 1 species
UCGAACGAGAAAGUGGAGCAACCCAUGAGUACAGUGGCGUACGGGUGAGUAACACGUGACUAACCUACCCUCGAGUGGGGAAUAACUUCGGGAAACCGAGGCUAACACCGCAUAAUGUCUACGGACCAAAUGCGCAAGCAGCUUGAGGAGGGGGUCGCGGCUGAUUAGCUUGUUGGCGGGGUAACGGCCCACCAAGGCAAUGAUCAGUAGCCGGCCUGAGAGGGCGCACGGCCACACUGGAACUGAAACACGGUCCAGACUCCUACGGGAGGCAGCAGUGGGGAAUUUUGCGCAAUGGGGGAAACCCUGACGCAGCAACGCCGCGUGGAGGAUGAAGCCCCUUGGGGUGUAAACUCCUUUCGAUCGGGACGAUUAUGACGGUACCGGAUGAAGAAGCACCGGCUAACUCUGUGCCAGCAGCCGCGGUAAUACAGAGGGUGCAAGCGUUGUUCGGAAUUAUUGGGCGUAAAGGGUGCGUANGCGGUGCGGUAAGUCUUCUGUGAAACCUCCGGGCUUAACUCG